AUUGCGGACGUGAAGAGUCGAUACAGCGGCGGUUGUAUCUGCACAACAAAUUUUUAUACCUACCCACAUUUCAUAUUUCGUAUAUUUUAUUUACAAGUGGUGUUCAAUUGGAGCGACGACGAACGCUCUACUCCGUGCUGAGUCGGUAUCAAAUACUCGGUUGAAUCGUGUUACAGUUUCGAAUUGAACAAAAAAAAAAAGACAAUAACAAUAGCAACAACAAUUGCCGAAAAGAAAUUAUGCUGCUGACUUUUGUGUAAUAAAUGCAUAAUAAAAGCAAUAACAAUAGCUGCAACGGGCAUAGCGUAGCAACAAUUGCUAGUGAAAAACGAAAACAAACACAUACACACACACACACAAAAAAAAAACAAAAAACGGUGAGGGCUUCAAAAAAGUUGCUUAAGUCACCGGAAGAUGUGAGAAUAAAUACAAAAUCAUGAAUACAAAUUAAGACACGAAGGAUUGUUGCUGUCCAUUCAAUUCGGAACGAAAUAACAAAUCAUCAAACAAUAAGCAAAAUCGGUCAUGCAAUUGUGUUUAGGCCAUUCCGUGUGUGUUUCCGCUGCUGCUUCAUCAACUGUUUGGUCUGGUGUUCAACAUCACAAUUCGUGAUUUGGCUAACGAUUGCGCGUGCAAAUUUAUGGAAAGUAAUUAAAACAAAUAUCUAGAUUUAAUACGUGAAAUUGAACAAGUUUAUUAAACAAGUAGCAAAUUUCAAAAAAAAAAAAAAAAAAAAAAUCAAACAAAAUAUUUGGUACAAAUUCAAAACGAGAAUUAAGUGAAUUUUUAGUGCAGAAAUAAGUAAGAAACAAAUGAUUUUUCUUUCACUGGAGCAAAGUAAAUAAAACGCUUUUGAUUUUCAAUUGCUGUGCAUAGCGCUGAAAGUGAAUACUACUUCUACGCGUACAUAUGCACAUACAUACAUAUGCAUGUAUAAGUAGAGUGUAAUGCAUGCACGUACACGCACGAGUGUAUACAGUUGCUAAUAACGAGGAAGACGUGAACAGGUGCGCGAAUAAGAGUGAAAAACCACCGUCCAUUGCGGAACUUUGAGGUAUCUACUUUCGAACAACAACUACAAUAGAAAAAAAAAAUAAAAUAAAAUAAAUAAAAAAUACGCGCAAAUAUCUGCACGCGAAUAUUUUGUAUUGAAUGGUUGGUGUGCUACAGCCACAGCUUCAGUUUCAGUGCCCACAGAACAACGGUGCUGAGCAACUAACAGCAUCUUCAACAACACCGAAAGCUUAACAGGCAAGAAACAGCAAACGAAAUAAAAUAAAAUAAAGUAAAAUAA